GAUGAACGCUGGCGGCGUGCCUAAUACAUGCCAGUAGAACGCUGAAGGAGGAGCUUGCUCUUCUGGAUGAGUUGCGAACGGGUGAGUAACGCGUAGGUAACCUGCCUGGUAGCGGGGGAUAACUAUUGGAAACGAUAGCUAAUACCGCAUGACAACAGUUAUUGCAUGAUAACUGUUUAAAAGGGGCAACUGCUCCACUACCAGAUGGACCUGCGUUGUAUUAGCUAGUUGGUGAGGUAACGGCUCACCAAGGCGACGAUACAUAGCCGACCUGAGAGGGUGAUCGGCCACACUGGGACUGAGACACGGCCCAGACUCCUACGGGAGGCAGCAGUAGGGAAUCUUCGGCAAUGGACGGAAGUCUGACCGAGCAACGCCGCGUGAGUGAAGAAGGUUUUCGGAUCGUAAAGCUCUGUUGUAAGAGAAGAACGAGUGUGAGAGUGGAAAGUUCACACUGUGACGGUAGCUUACCAGAAAGGGACGGCUAACUACGUG
rnacentral:rRNA from 1 species